rnacentral:miRNA from 1 species
UCUGCUGUUUGCCUUCUCCAG